rnacentral:rRNA from 1 species
UACGGAGGGUGCAAGCGUUAUCCGGAUUCACUGGGUUUAAAGGGUGCGUAGGUGGGUUGGUAAGUCAGUGGUGAAAUCCCCGAGCUUAACUUGGGAACUGCCAUUGGUACUAUCAGUCUUGAAUACCGUGGAGGUCAGCGGAAUAUGUCAUGUAGCGGUGAAAUGCUUAGAUAUGACAUAGAACACCAAUUGCGAAGGCAGCUGGCUACACGAAUAUUGACACUCAGGCACGAAAACGUGGGGAUCAAACAGG